rnacentral:lncRNA from 1 species
GUUGCAACACGCGAACCGAUCAAUUCUAGUAAUAGCUUGGCAAAUAUGGUGUGCAUAUAUGCUAGAAUAACGUAUGCGUUUUAACUGCAUGAUGAUAAAUGUAAAUUUGUAGCUGUAGCCUGUAGCUGUUGGUAGCACUCGUGUCGCAGCAGUAGUCUAGAAAUGCUGCUUGCAGCUGAUGAGUGUUGUAUCUUGAGUACCCUGCUGAUGAGUGUUGUAUCUUGAGUACCCUUGUUUCUUACUAGCAGGCAGAAGGUAUGGCGGCACGCCGCGCCCGUGUUUAAACACGUUGUUGUUUGAGUUAUAUCGAGGUUUUUCUUAACACCAAUGAAUUCUAUUAAUGCUAGAGGAAAACGAUAGCUCCAAUAAUUUCUUUGUUCUCAAAGCCUCCUAUUUAGAGGAAUUAGCUACUUGAACGACCUUUGAUGUUUUGUCUUUGAUCUUGUUUAUU